AAACAGCCGCAACACGGGACGUAUGAUGCAUUUUUCAAGAACAUUAAGGUAUUGGAUUGCGUUUCAUGCAUGCGAUUUGCAUGUGUCGUUACUCGUUACAUUUUCAGUGACACUAAUUUAUUUUAUGUUGCAGCUGCACGUGUUCGCGACGCUUCAUCCCACCGAAGUCGAGCUUGGACAACCAUGUAUCUCCACCCUCUUGCCGUUUGAAAACCGUACUGUACCUGUGUUGGACGAGGUUGCAAGGGACAUUAUCCCUGCACAGCUUCACCCAGAUCCUUUGCCCAGUAGGGAGAAUGUUGGAAACUCAAGGGAAGAGGCUCCGAGGACGAUGAUGAGUUGGGGGACAGUGAGGACGAGGGAGCCUGUGAGGAGACCGGAGGUGAUAAGAGGGGAGACAGCAAUGGAGAGGCCUCGGAAAAGGGGGACAGUGGCGACAGUGAGGAUGACCACACUCGUACACCGCAGACUGGGACAUAUUCCUCUCCCCCCAUGCACAGACGUACUUCUCCCAUUCAUGCACCCUCCACAUCUCAUGUACGACAAGGUCAAACCUCUGGUGCGAGCCUCACGAGAGACGAGGUGGAGGAACUAUUGCUCGAUCAAAGAACGCUCAUCGAAAUUUGUUUGCGCACAGUGAAGCUUGAGAUCA
rnacentral:lncRNA from 1 species